UUUAUUUCAUUUGAUUUUCAUUAAUUCAUAUUAAUUUUAAUAUUGAUCCAAAAAAUAUGAGAGUUUCACCAAAAAAAAUUAAAUAAAUUCUUCUUUCAUACUCUGAAUUAAAAUAAUUUUUUGGAUCAUUAUUAAUAUUUUUCAUGAUUUAAUUGAUUUUGUGAAUAUUUUUAAUUGUUUAAAAAUACUUUUAAGUCUCCAAAAAUUCUGGAAAAUUUUCUCCAAAGUCCUUUGACCUUGUUUGACCUAUGAUAAAUCUCAUGGCUAAUUCUUUGGUGUUU
rnacentral:lncRNA from 1 species